UUGCACUCUGCCGGCGACCGGCGCACGGGUGCGCAACGCGUAUGGAACCUGCCCUUUACAGGGGAAUAGCCCAGAGAAAUUUGGAUUAAUGCCCCAUGGUACCUUCUAUAGCAUUAUAGGACGGUUAAAGGCUUCGGCCGGUAAGGGAUGGCCAUGCGUACCAUUAGUUAGUUGGUAGGGUAACGGCCUACCAAGACAGCGAUGGUUAGGGGCCCUGAGAGGGGGAUCCCCCACACUGGUACUGAGACACGGACCAGACUCCUACGGGAGGCAGCAGUGAGGAAUAUUGGACAAUGGGCGGGAGCCUGAUCCAGCCAUGCCGCGUGCAGGAAGAAUGCCCUAUGGGUAGUAAACUGCUUUUGUACGGGAAGAAACCCGCCUACGUGUAGGCGGCUGACGGUACCGUAAGAAUAAGGACCGGCUAACUCCGUGCCAGCAGCCGCGGUAAUACGGAGGGUCCGAGCGUUAUCCGGAAUUAUUGGGUUUAAAGGGUCCGUAGGCGGGCCGGUAAGUCAGUGGUGAAAGUCUGCAGCUCAACUGUAGAACUGCCUUUGAUACUGUCGGUCUUGAGUCAUAGUGAAGUGGGCGGAAUAUGUAGUGUAGCGGUGAAAUGCAUAGAUAUUACAUAGAACACCGAUUGCGAAGGCAGC
rnacentral:rRNA from 1 species